AUUGAACGCUGGCGGCAUGCCUUACACAUGCAAGUCGAACGGUAACAGGUUAAGCUGACGAGUGGCGAACGGGUGAGUAAUGUAUCGGAACGUGCCCAGUCGUGGGGGAUAACUGCUCGAAAGAGCAGCUAAUACCGCAUACGACCUGAGGGUGAAAGCGGGGGAUCGCAAGACCUCGCGCGAUUGGAGCGGCCGAUAUCAGAUUAGGUAGUUGGUGAGGUAAAGGCUCACCAAGCCGACGAUCUGUAGCUGGUCUGAGAGGACGACCAGCCACACUGGGACUGAGACACGGCCCAGACUCCUACGGGAGGCAGCAGUGGGGAAUUUUGGACAAUGGGCGCAAGCCUGAUCCAGCCAUGCCGCGUGCGGGAAGAAGGCCUUCGGGUUGUAAACCGCUUUUGUCAGGGAGAAAAGGUUCUGGCUAAUACCUGGGACUCAUGACGGUACCUGAAGAAUAAGCACCGGCUAACUACGUG
rnacentral:rRNA from 1 species